rnacentral:rRNA from 1 species
UUCGGGUGUCAGCGGCAGACGGGUGAGUAACACGUGGGAACGUACCCUUCGGUUCGGAAUAACGCUGGGAAACUAGCGCUAAUACCGGAUACGCCCUUUUGGGGAAAGGUUUACUGCCGAAGGAUCGGCCCGCGUCUGAUUAGCUAGUUGGUGGGGUAACGGCCUACCAAGGCGACGAUCAGUAGCUGGUCUGAGAGGAUGAUCAGCCACACUGGGACUGAGACACGGCCCAGACUCCUACGGGAGGCAGCAGUGGGGAAUAUUGGACAAUGGGCGCAAGCCUGAUCCAGCCAUGCCGCGUGAGUGAUGAAGGCCUUAGGGUUGUAAAGCUCUUUUGUCCGGGACGAUAAUGACGGUACCGGAAGAAUAAGCCCCGGCUAACUUCGUGCCAGCAGCCGCGGUAAUACGAAGGGGGCUAGCGUUGCUCGGAAUCACUGGGCGUAAAGGGCGCGUAGGCGGCCAUUCAAGUCGGGGGUGAAAGCCUGUGGCUCAACCACAGAAUUGCCUUCGAUACUGGUUGGCUUGAGUUUGGUAGAGGUUGGUGGAACUGCGAGUGUAGAGGUGAAAUUCGUAGAUAUUCGCAAGAACACCAGUGGCGAAGGCGGCCAACUGGACC